rnacentral:rRNA from 1 species
UGGGAGGAAAAGAAACCAACAGGGAUUGCCUUAGUAGCGGCGAGUGAAGCGGCAAAAGCUCAAAUUUGAAAUCUGGCUCUUUCAGAGUCCGAGUUGUAAUUUGAAGAAGGUAUCUUUGGGUCUGGCUCUUGUCUAUGUUUCUUGGAACAGAACGUCACAGAGGGUGAGAAUCCCGUGCGAUGAGAUGAUCCAGGCCUAUGUAAAGUUCCUUCGAAGAGUCGAGUUGUUUGGGAAUGCAGCUCUAAGUGGGUGGUAAAUUCCAUCUAAAGCUAAAUAUUGGCGAGAGACCGAUAGCGAACAAGUACAGUGAUGGAAAGAUGAAAAGAACUUUGAAAAGAGAGUGAAAAAGUACGUGAAAUUGUUGAAAGGGAAGGGCUUGAGAUCAGACUUGGUAUUUUGUAUGUUACUUCUUCGGGGGUGGCCUCUACAGUUUAUCGGGCCAGCAUCAGUUUGGGCGGUAGGAGAAUUGCGUUGGAAUGUGGCACGGCUUCGGUUGUGUGUUAUAGCCUUCGUCGAUACUGCCAGCCUAGACUGAGGACUGCGGUUUAUACCUAGGAUGUUGGCAUAAUGAUCUUAAGUCGCCCGUCUA